UAAUUGUUCAAUGUAUCCAGGACAUUGUGAAAGUUAAGAUGUGAAUUCUGUUACUUUCCUCUAAAGAGUAUUGAUCUUGUUGUUGUUGUUGUUGUUGUUAAGUAGGCACUUGACUUGAUGGGAUUCAGAUGGAAAAAUCUGUCUCUUGAGUACCAAUUCAAAUCUCAGUUUUGUUCUAUCUUUAGCCAGAAUCUGUCCCAAGCAUUUGCAGUUCAGGGGUCAGCCAGACAUGUGGGCAGAGUUUCUACGCAGGCUGUAGUGGCCCUGAAUACUGUCAUCUUACUCUUCAGACCGGAACGGCUGCAGUGUUCUGUCGAAGCUUUAAAUGCCACAUGUGGCUGCUGAGGGUGGUCUGAUCUUAGGCUAAAAGCCAUAAAAAUGGCAAACACCCUCCGUGCCAUUUCUUUCUUCCGUGUUUUGACGCCCCUCCGGAAUCUGCUUGCAUGUGUUCACUCUCUAGUACCUUCAGGUAGGUGGUUUCGCCUCCCCGCCUAAGAUUUUAGUUGUCACCCGUGGGAGGACUGUCCUGGAACGAACUUCUUUUGCCCCGUUAAUACUGGAAGUGGAACCAUUACGACGCGUCGCCGCACAAUGUGCAGUGGUGCACUUCUGCCCUUGACCUAGCCGCUCUGCCGGGCACGGAGGCCCAGCUUGAUUUCAACUCCCCGGUGACAUAAACAACACAUUCCGGUGCCUUUCCAUCACGCGUGUCUGUGGCAGCAAGGCAUCUGAGUGAAGAUUCCACCCCAAACAAAAGCAAAGAGCCGGCACGCGAGGAGGCAGAGCCUUCAUCUUGAUGGUAACAGCCUGAAACCAGGAAGUGAGAAACAAAAGGAUUUCUAAAAUCAGAACAGAGUCCAUUUACAACUCUAAGUGUGUGGUCAUGGAGAAGAAUCCCCCUCACAUCAGACCUGCAUCACUGGACAGAAGUA